UACGAAGGGGGCUAGCGUUGUUCGGAAUCACUGGGCGUAAAGCGCACGUAGGCGGAUUGUUAAGUGAGGGGUGAAAUCCCAGGGCUCAACCCUGGAACUGCCUUUCAUACUGGCAAUCUCGAGUUCGAGAGAGGUAAGUGGAAUUCCGAGUGUAGAGGUGAAAUUCGUAGAUAUUCGGAGGAACACCAGUGGCGAAGGCGGCUUACUGGAUCGAUACUGACGCUGAGGUGCGAAAGCGUGGGGAGCAAACAGG
rnacentral:rRNA from 1 species